UGGGAAGUAGCUCAGCGGUAGAGUCCCGGCCUUUGACUCCGGUGGUCGCUGGUUCGAAUCCAGCCUUCCCAG
rnacentral:tRNA from 1 species